AGGAAAUUAGGUUAACUAGACCAAGGACCUUCAAAGUCCUAAGUAAGUACACUACACUUAUUUCCUG
rnacentral:tRNA from 1 species